rnacentral:rRNA from 1 species
GAUCAUGGCUCAGGAUGAACGCUGGCGGCGUGCCUAACACAUGCAAGUCGAACGAAGCACCUUUUAAGAUUCUUCGGAUGAUUGAUUGGUGACUGAGUGGCGGACGGGUGAGUAACGCGUGGGUAACCUGCCCUGUACAGGGGGAUAACAGUUGGAAACGGCUGCUAAUACCGCAUAAGCGCACGAGAGGACAUCCUUUCGUGUGAAAAACUCCGGUGGUACAGGAUGGGCCCGCGU